GGCGUCGGACGGCCGUGGCGGCGCCCCGCCCCUGCGCUCCCAUUGGGCCGCGCCCCUAGCGUCACGGAGCGGGAAGCCGACGAUUGGGAGAACUCGCUGCCAAUCGCUGGAACGAGGAGGCGGGCCUUACCGAUCACCGCCCUCCCCGUAGUGAGAUUGACUGUCUUGACAAGGAUUUGCGUCCUCCUCCGCGGCGCAGGGAUACCUGAGGGCAGGGAGAGGAAAAAACUGCUGCCACUGUGGCCUUUAGGGUCUCUCCCUCCUCACCCAGAGAAUGCCUGUGCCAGAUAAGGAGAAAAAAGAGGACUUGGGAUGACAUUUUCAAUGAGAUCCUGAAAGCCAACCUUGCAUUGGACAGUGCACACAGGGCCUGGAGGAUGAACGUUGAGGGCAGACUGGAGUAGGAAGAGUGGAGAGGAGAAAGGCCUGGGAGUCCAAGCAGUAAAAGGAGAGGGAGAUGCACCAGGACGUAAUGGGUCUUGUCAGGCAGAAAACACAGGUGCUGCAGAUUCUGGUGGAUCUGCAAGUUCAACAGUCCUGGGCUCACCUCCCUCUGCAGCCCACUGAGAACUCAAUAUUGGGACCUACCUAUACCCCCCUCAAUGUUCUACAUGGCAUCAGGGGUCACUGCACUAUCCCUACCACUCCACCCUGGGGGACGUUAAAGACAAUCACAGCUUCACAUACACUGACCUAUGAAAGCCACAUUUGGUGUAUGUGUUGCUGAAAUGGACAUGAACAUUGGUCCCAGACAGUCUUUUACUUUCUGUGUGCGCACAUACAGGUGAUGGAGAUAGUCAGUGAAGCUUUCCUGGAUGUCCUCAAGAUACACCUUGCUGCACAACUCUAUUAAGUACUUAAAAGAUUCCUGAGUCACUGAAGAGAACAAUGAGAAUUGUCUAAAAUUGAUAUAGACCUUAUCCCUUCAUAAGUAUAGUCUUCUUAUGCUCCAAUACAAAUAUUAUAUGAACUGGCAGAUUCUCACCAGCCCUCCGGGGUUCAGCAGACAGUCAUUAAUGCACUAAUUCUAAUAAAAGGGGGGAAGCAGUAUGAAAUUUAUCAUCUACAUCCCAGGCUCUAGUCCUCUUAUCUUAUUUCUUAUCUUACCAAGUCCACAGUUUCCUGGGGACGUGAGCCCCAGCCUGUGCCCUUCUCUCCCCAAACCCAGAACCUUUCCCCCAGCUGGUAUUUGUCUCUUCUCCUGCCCUUUCUGCAGCUGUUUUGUUUCCUAGGUACUGCUUGGGCCUCCCAGAGUGCACCUUCAUUCGCUCCUCCCUUGGAAUGAGAUGGGUCUGGGUUAUAUAGGCCCAGACCCGUCCCACUCCCAGCCUCUGAGCAGACUGCUUAACUGGAGUUGGGUGCUUUGUUUUUUUCAGAUGCUUGAUGGUUACCUGUUCUGUCCAUUCCCUCUGAAGCACCUGGCAUUGGCUACUGUCGGAAGACAGGACACAGUUAGAUGGACCUUUGGUCUGAUCCAGUAUGGCCGUUCUUAUGUACUUUCCCCCUCGCUCUCCUUCCAUGUGAAGAGUUCACUGUGUCACAUGUUCAUUUUGUUGAUUUUAUUGGUUUCUUCAAAUUUCUAAAAUACAACUAAUUAAAUCAUCAUCUUACUAACUAACAGAAGUUAGUUCCAUGUUGUCGCUGUCAUUGUCAGUGGCAUGGAAUUAUUUUGGACUGUUUGGUAACUAGAGAAGGGUACUGGCCGGCUUUUCAGAAAGGUACAAAUAGUGGCCCAGAUUCUCAGCUGGGGAAGCUCCCCUGAAGACCAUGGAGCAACAGAUACAUACAAACUGAGAAUGUUGUGUCUCAGUGAUGAAUGGUUCAGUAGCAGCAGCUGCUUCUUUUCUGCAAACUUUGUUUUUCAGUGAGAUAAAGUGCAAGGUGGCGCUUGUCCUUGGUAUGCUAAACUGUCUGAACUAGAGCUUCAGUGUCUGGGCUCUGAAAUGAGAUCAUUUAUUUUAAAAACCUUUGCACAAAGAGAAGCGAUUUAUAUCUGAAAUUGACCAACGUUAGAGAGCGCUUCUUCCUACAGUAUUGUCCUCUCCAGCCAGGCUUCUGGUAUGCCAAGAAAGUCUUCUAAUCAUCUAGAGGGCACUCUCCCUUUACCAACACUCAAAGAACUGACAAGAUCUCAGAAGGGAAGACGAUACCAGCCCUCUGAUGCAAACUGUGCAUCAAAAAUUCUAUUUCUAUCCGAACGGUAUCAGGGGACGUUUUACAUGGAGUCAUUUUCCAGAAGAGAGAGAGUAUGAGAAUAAAGAAUUGAUUAAUGGGUAUAUGCUGAAAUGAAAGAAGGGUUUUAAAUUACUUUUCUAGUUAAAGGGAAAACUCAAAGCCAGAAUGAGUUAAAAGUGGAUUUCUGCAGAAUAACGAUGCAGUAAGUGUGACCCUGUCAUGUAGCAGGGUAUUUCAGCGUGGAAAAUGAAGCAAGUUGAUUUUAAUACGAAGUGAAUGGGGCCUAAAAAAUGGAGGAUGGCUGUGAAAAUAUUGAUUCCUAAAAAUAAAUACAGUAUAAUCCAAAUGGUAUCAGUGCAAAGAUCCAGCUGCCCACAUCUCUGAUAUGUGGCAUUUUUGCUAAGCAUUCCCAGGAUAAUCCAUUCUGAAAUAAUCUUUCAGAUGAUGUGUCAUAACUCUGGCCUUUUAGCAGAAACAUACAUUUACUUUAGAUAGUAUCAGGGAGGAUCAGUGUACUUUCAAGGAACAAAAUUAGGGAGGCCUCUAUAAUGCUUGGAAGCAUAACACGGCACCUUAAAUUAACAGGAAAGAACCCACGUCCCAGAUACAGUGCUUGCUGUUGGCGGAAGGCUAACAAUGCAUUUCUGAAGUGCAGUGCAAAUUGCUGGUGCUGGCAGUCAGUGUGAAAUUUACACUUACGAAAGGGCAGAAUCUCACAGUAGUCAAGCUACCUUUAUAGCAUUCAGAACUCUGGCAGUAUUUCCAGGUUUUGCAAUUUUUCCUACAAAAAGGCACAAUAUGUCCUGCAGCAUUUUCUUAUUCCUUUGAUCUCCAGUUUGUUGUUUUGGCUUCUUCUGAUUUGGGGCUUUAUAUGUAUAUUUUCAGCAUAGCCUCCUUUUUUAUUUGCUUUUGGGAUUGUAAGUAGUUUUCCUUUGAUCUUGCUUCCAACUGUAAUGACUUUCCUCUUUCUCCCUCCCUCACUAAUUCCUUCCUGUAUGUAUUUUUCCUUAAUAAUAGAUGAAAUAUUCAUUAAUUGUAAGAGCUAGAUUGAACGAGACUGUGUAUGGAUUUAAUGGUCCUAGAGUUUAUUGGUGCUACUAGACAUGAGAACACUAUAAAACAGACGUCAGGAGCUCUUCAGUGCCAGCUGAGGGCAUCCCAUAUUGUAACUCACAUCAGGCCUGACACACUCGUUGUCCCAACACACUGUUGUCAUCUUAUAUAUCUCAAAGGUGUCAUGUGGUGACACACUGGUCUCAAAAUCAUUGCGUAAUGAAUAUAUGGGUUCUGUACAAAGAGUUAUGGAUACGUGCUGCAAAUACAUUCUUAAAAUGUGUUUGGAAGGCAGCAUGUGAACCCAGCCUGCCCUAGACAAAGAAAUGUGGAUUUACCUCUCUGACCAGCUUGGUUACAGACAAAGGACAAUGAAAGUACAUUUACAUAGGAGAUAAACAAAGCCAUCAAGCUAAACAAGAGAGGGAGAAGACCAUUUAACAAGCAAGUUGGGGGACAGAGUCUGCAUCCUAGGAAGCCUUCCUGGUUCUUGAGGCUGAUACAAUGGUCUCUGAGUAAUAUAAAUGGAGCAAAAAGACCUCUUAGUGAUCCAUCACUAAGGGGACAUAUAGGCUACAGAGCCCUCUGAGCCUGUGAAAGUUUGUCUCCUUGUCUAGAGAGCUAUGGAUGCUGUUACUUGGAAUUUCAGAACCUCCUGAUUGGCUCCAGACCAAGGAGAGAGCCCAGAUUGAGAAGGCAACAGAGAGAGCACAUAAUGAGAACAUAAGAACGGCUAUACUGGGUCAGACCAAAGGUCCAUCUAGCCCAGUAUCCUGUCUUCCAACAGUGACCAAUGCCAGGUGCC